CGGCCCUUGCGGCAGGCUUACACAUGCAAGUCGAGCGGUAGCACAGGGGAGCUUGCUCCCCGGGUGACGAGCGGCGGACGGGUGAGUAAUGUCUGGGAAACUGCCUGAUGGAGGGGGAUAACUACUGGAAACGGUAGCUAAUACCGCAUAACGUCGCAAGACCAAAGAGGGGGACCUUCGGGCCUCUUGCCAUCAGAUGUGCCCAGAUGGGAUUAGCUAGUAGGUGGGGUAAUGGCUCACCUAGGCGACGAUCCCUAGCUGGUCUGAGAGGAUGACCAGCCACACUGGAACUGAGACACGGUCCAGACUCCUACGGGAGGCAGCAGUGGGGAAUAUUGCACAAUGGGCGCAAGCCUGAUGCAGCCAUGCCGCGUGUGUGAAGAAGGCCUUCGGGUUGUAAAGCACUUUCAGCGAGGAGGAAGGUGGUGAGCUUAAUACGCUCAUCAAUUGACGUUACUCGCAGAAGAAGCACCGGCUAACUCCGUGCCAGCAGCCGCGGUAAUACGGAGGGUGCAAGCGUUAAUCGGAAUUACUGGGCGUAAAGCGCACGCAGGCGGUUUGUUAAGUCAGAUGUGAAAUCCCCGGGCUCAACCUGGGAACUGCAUUUGAAACUGGCAAGCUAGAGUCUCGUAGAGGGGGGUAGAAUUCCAGGUGUAGCGGUGAAAUGCGUAGAGAUCUGGAGGAAUACCGGUGGCGAAGGCGGCCCCCUGGACGAAGACUGACGCUCAGGUGCGAAAGCGUGGGGAGCAAACAGGAUUAGAUACCCUGGUAGUCCACGCUGUAAACGAUGUCGAUUUGGAGGUUGUGCCCUUGAGGCGUGGCUUCCGGAGCUAACGCGUUAAAUCGACCGCCCUGGGGAGUACGGCCGCAAAGUUAAAACUCAAAUGAAUUUGACGGGGGGCCCGCACAAGCGGUGGGAGCAUGUGGUUUUAAUUCGAUGCAACGCGGAAGAACCCUUACCUACUCUUUGACCAUCCAGAGGAACUUUGCAGAGAAUGGCUUUGGGUGGUCUUUCGGGGAACCUCUGAAGAACAGGUGCUGCAUGGGCUGGUCGUUCAGCUCGGUGUUGGUGGAAUGGUUGGGGUUAAGGUCCCGCCAACGAAGCGCAACCCUUAUCCCUUUGGUUGGCCAGGCGAUUCCGGCCGGGGAGACCUCUAAGGAAAAACUGUGCC
rnacentral:rRNA from 1 species